CCGCUCUCAGGAUCGCACCUGGAGAGUUUCCAGAAUUCUACCGGUCUCUGCUAUGGGAGGGAGAGUCAAGCAGAGGCCUGUCCAUUCCAUUCUUAGCUUGGCCAGUGGCUAGGAGUGGAAGGCAAUCUGCUACAAGU
rnacentral:snoRNA from 1 species